GGUUGCACAGGGAGUUAAAGACUGAAUAGAACCUUGCAGUUCUGAUUCCUCAUCCCCUGCAGUCACCACUAGACAAAGCUAGACUGCGUUGGUGCUUGGAUAUGCAUUAGUGAGCAGUAACACAUCUCUAACUGUAUUAUUAGGCACGUGCUGGAAGAUUAAAUACCAUCCAUGCUAUCCCAUGGUGAGGUCAGUGGAAGUAAGAAUUAGAGGAGCAGGUUCUAGAUUUGGGGCAUCCAAAACAAUUCACCAGCUCUGCUGAACAGCAGCUGAUCAGGCCUUGCCAACUCCACGUUUUACAGAGAGCGCCUACACCUGCAGAUCUUUGACUGUCAGGAGGGCUAGGCAUACGAGCUGGUCAUUUUACACUCAUUUGCCAGGAAAGCAGUUGUGGCAGCGGAGGCAGCUCUCUGAGGAACUGUCGACCCAAGGAAAACUGGAGUCUGAGGCGUCUGUAUGUGUGAUAUCAACACCUGGAAUGAGAACACCAAGUCAUCCAGAGGGGCGAAGGGACGGGAUCUAUGACUUCCUAAAAAGAGAGAGAAUCCCACUCAGGAUAGUGUUGUCCACACCCCUUCUGACCAUCCAUCCUACCCAUAUGUAUGUAUGUGGUCUCCAAUUCCGAAGUAUCUGAACAUUUCACAGUCUUUAAUGGAUUUCUCCUCACAGGUAGGGCAGUUCUACUAUUCCUGGUUUACUGAUGGGGAACUGAGUCCAGAUUUUUAAUGCUAUUUAGGCAGAUCAGUGCCUAGUGGGACUUUAAAAAAGCACCCAGGUGCUUAACUCCCAUUGACUUCAGUGGGAGUUAGGUCCCUGGGCUAUGUUAAGCAUUCCACUAGGUGCCCAUCUGCAUCUUUAGACAAGGAAAUAUCUUUGCAGAUCUGGCCUCAAGUGACACAGGAAGUCUGUGGCAGAGCAGGGAAUUGAACAUGAGUCAAUUCAAAUUGAACUCAGCACUUCCAAACUCCUAGGCAGCCAGUGCCUCAUUUAGGCCAU